GGUCGUGCAAGGGGGAGGGGGGGGUUAGAGGUGGUUCCGCAAGGGUCGAGCGGGCGGGGAAGGGCGAAUAUAGGUAGGUCGGAGGUGAGAAGGUGGUAGAGGUGGAGGUAGCAAUUAACUUCUCCUCGCGAGAUUAGAGCGAGAUAUUACGAGAUAUCGAGCGACUUAACGGCAACACGCGAGAGACUUCAAAGGCAGUAAUAAACUGCCUCUAAUGAACCCCUUAUCGUUGCUAC